UGGAGGAGGGAGCCUUGGAAGCUGGGAAAGAAGGCUGAGCUGACUAAGCCUGGACACAAUCAAGACUAAAAUGCCCCAGAUUCUACUUGAUGUGGCUUGGAGGAAGUUGGUGAAGACAGCUACCCACCCAGAAUAUCUGCUGUGUUAAACAAAGCGUACUGGCUUCCAGAUCUAGCUUGUGAGCUAGAAGAGCAAGUCUAGGUAAAAAGGCACAACUAAUUCACCAGGCUACUGUCUUACAGAUGUCUCCCUUGCCAGCUGAUCUGCAUUCACCGUUUAGCCGCUCUGCCAAUUAUGCUCUGUCAUUUAAGACAAAGUUACAGAAAACGCAUUCAAAGCCUGAAAAAUGAAAAAAAGGAAAAAGCAUUCCUGAUAACUGUGGCCGGAUCUACUGAUA
rnacentral:lncRNA from 1 species